UGGACGACAGAGACUGGUUCCAGCUGUGAGGAACUGCAGAAAGGCUCGACUUGGUGGCUGUGAGCUCCGAAAGGCUGAAUAUGAAGUUUUGGCCUCGGCUCUGAAGUCCAACCCAGAUCUGACUGAACUGGAAAUAAAUCAGAUCUACAUAAAU